AUUCCACAGAGACAGGCAGCUGCAGCCCUUAAGAGGCCAGUUUGCAACUAGCUGCUGUUUGCUGCAUCUCUUGCUCUUACAGCUGCUUUGCUGGAACCGAGAGGAUCUGGAUGUGUUAUUUACCGUAUUGCUUCAAAGGAUUCUCAACAAGGUGCCUGAUCUCUACAACAGUAGCUGCAAAUCGCACCAUAGUUAAUGGGCCUUAUCCCAGAAGGUGACUCCUGAAAGAUGCUCUGGGCCCUCGGCUCCCACUGGAAUCAGCAGGACUGCACCCUCCAGGCUUGGAGUAGGUGGUGCAUACAACU